rnacentral:rRNA from 1 species
UAAUACGUAGGGGGCAAGCGUUGUCCGGAAUCACUGGGCGUAAAGCGCGCGCAGGCGGCGAUCUACGUCCGGGGUGAAAGCCCAGAGCUCAACUCUGGGAUUGCCUUGGAUACGGGAUCGCUUGAGGAUCGGAGAGGCAAGGGGAAUUCCACGUGUAGCGGUGAAAUGCGUAGAUAUGUGGAGGAACACCUGUGGCGAAGGCGCCUUGCUGGCCGAUUUCUGACGCUGAGGCGCGAAAGCGUGGGGAGCAAACAGGAUUAGAUACCCUGGUAGUCCACGCCGUAAACGAUGAGUGCUAGGUGUUGGGGGGUACCACCCUCAGUGCCGAAGCUAACGCAUUAAGCACUCCGCCUGGGGAGUACGGUCGCAAGACUG